GAACCAGCGGAGGGAUCAUUACUGAGUUUACGCUCUAUAACCCUUUGUGAACAUACCUAUAACUGUUGCUUCGGCGGGUAGGGUCUCCGCGACCCUCCCGGCCUCCCGCCUCCGGGCGGGUCGGCGCCCGCCGGAGGAUAACCAAACUCUGAUUUAACGACGUUUCUUCUGAGUGGUACAAGCAAAUAAUCAAAACUUUUAACAACGGAUCUCUUGGUUCUGGCAUCGAUGAAGAACGCAGCGAAAUGCGAUAAGUAAUGUGAAUUGCAGAAUUCAGUGAAUCAUCGAAUCUUUGAACGCACAUUGCGCCCGCCAGCAUUCUGGCGGGCAUGCCUGUUCGAGCGUCAUUUCAACCCUCAAGCUCUGCUUGGUGUUGGGGCCCUACAGCUGAUGUAGGCCCUCAAAGGUAGUGGCGGACCCUCCCGGAGCCUCCUUUGCGUAGUAACUUUACGUCUCGCACUGGGAUCCGGAGGGACUCUUGCCGUAAAACCCCCCAAUUUUCCAAAGGUUGACCUCGGAUCAGGUAGGAAUACCCGCUGAACUUAAGCAUAUCAAU
rnacentral:rRNA from 1 species